UCGCUCAGAUGAUCAGAGGCCAGAAGUCUGCUAAACCUAGACCCUUAUUAUGAAAUCAUUAUCGGCGGCCUUCAGGUCAAUACAAUGCUGGGUACCGGCCAAACCAACAUCUUUCCAAGCGCACACAGUCGAGCCAUCCGCCUACCCCCACAAGCGACAACCAGGCUAUCAGCUUUGGCACUACAUCCACUAGGACAGUGCAGAAUUCAUACAACUGGUCUCGGAAAGGCUCAACCACCAGCCACUGCCCUUGCAAGUCAGCAUGACAGACCACACAAUUCCUUUGCAAGUCAGCAGCCUCGAUCAAUGUACUAGACUACUCCAAGGUUCCAAACAGCUGCUACGCAUUCUGCCAGCAGCAGCCAGAGUCCAAGUAAGGGUCGCGAGGACUGGUGCAAACGGAGCGAGCCCAGGGCUGUAACUUCUGUUGUGCCACGGCAGUCGUCAGACUACUAGACACUGGCAUCGGUUGACGUGAAGUCAACUGAUGCCAUAUGUCCGUAUCACUGGACAUAUGCCAAUGACAAACCACACAUGUCCCCCCCUUGCAGUAUCAGUUGACGUAGCAGCUGGCAAGAGCUGGACAACAGCUGGUCCAAAAGCACAUACAAGCCAUCGACUAGCAGUGCAGCUGACUUCUGGGAAAUUGGUGCAGGAGACACUGGGAAGCAGUUCUGGGCGUCAUUGCAGACCACAACUGCUGCCAGUGAGGCUAGCAGAGCAGUUUGGUGGGGGGCGAACUUAAAAUUUUGACGUGGGGCCAACUUAAAAUUUUGACGGGGGGCCAACUUAAAAUUUUGACGGGGGGCCAACUUAAAAUUUUGACGGGGGGCCAACUUAAAAUUUUGACGGGGGGCCAACUUAAAAUUUCGACGGGGGGCCAACUUAAAAUUUCGACGGGGGGCCAACUUAAAAUUUUGACGGGGGGCCAACUUAAAAUUUCGACGGGGGGCCAACUUAAAAUUUUGACGGGGGGCCAACUUAAAAUUUUGACGGGGGGCCAACUUAAAAUUUUGACGGGGGGCCAACUUAAAAUUUGGACGUGGGGCCAACUUAAAAUUUCUACGGGGGCUAAUUCUGCCAAACCUAGACCUUACGAAAGUCAUUAUCGGCAGCCUUCAGUUCAAUACAAUGCUGGGUACCAGCCAAA